rnacentral:lncRNA from 1 species
AGGAAGGAAGGAAGGAAGGAAGGAAGGAAGGAAGGAAGGAAGGAAGGAAGGAAGGAAGGAAAUAAAUUAAAGGCUUUUUAGAAUUUAAAGAAAAUGAGGACACUUCAUGCCAAAACUUAAGUGACACAAUAAAAUCAAUGCUAAGAGUAAAACUCAUAGCUCUGAGUGCCUCCAAAAAGAAACUGAAGAGACCUUACACUAGCAGCUUGACAGCACACCUUAAAGCUCUAGAACAAAAAGAAGCAAAUACACCCAAG